rnacentral:rRNA from 1 species
GAUGAACGCUGGCGGCGUGCUUAACACAUGCAAGUCGAACGAGAAUCAACGGAUUGAGGAUUCGUCCAAAUGAAGUUGAGGAAAGUGGCGGACGGGUGAGUAACGCGUGAGGAACCUGCCUCGGAGUGGGGAAUAACAGUUGGAAACAGCUGCUAAUACCGCAUAAUGCAACGGAAUCGCAUGACUCUGUUGCCAAAGAUUUAUCGCUCUGAGAUGGCCUCGCGUCUGAUUAGAUAGUUGGUAGGGUAACGGCCUACCAAGUCAACGAUCAGUAGCCGGUCUGAGAGGAUGAACGGCCACAUUGGGACUGAGAUACGGCCCAG